GCCACCAAGCCAGUAAGUAGCAGAGCCAACAGUGGAACCCAGGUCAGCCUGUGGUCUGGGCUGGAAGUUUCUGCUAGGCCACAGAGUCCCCGAAGGAAUUGGGUGUGAUCAGCGCCCCCACCCCACCCCCUUUUUUUUUUCUUUUUUCUCUUUUUAAAUACCUCUGGUUUUUGUCGUGACCCUUCUACCAUCAACACCUUCACCCCCUAAAGAUAGGGACAUUUCCUUGAGGAGCAGGAGUCAUUCAACGGAGGAAAAGGUACAAAAUAGUCAAAUUAUGUUGUUUUUUUUUUCAGAUUCAAAAAAAGUCUGUAAAGGGUAAAAACUGUGCAUGCCAGGUUUUGCUGUUCACCGCAGGAAGUCAACGAAUUCAAGGAUCUCUGUACUGCUGAAAAUAGAAUUGUAAAAAAAAAAAAUAAUAAAAAGGGUGGGGGGGGAGAGAGAGCAAACGAAACUAAUCCUAUUAAACGUGGUAGCAUGUUUUUGUGGCACGCAGGGAGAGAUUAAGCACAGGAAAGGGGAUAAGUACUGCUUCAGUUUCACUAAACUAAUGUGACAACUUGUCAUUGGAGAUCUUUACAGCUUGUUAGUAGAUGAGUAGCUGAUUCAGAAGUGUUUUCUAUCAUUCCCUUUGUGUCCCCCAUGAGUUUUUUUUUUUUUAAGUUUUCUUUCUUUUCCUGUUUCUUUCUUCCCCAUGCUGGCUCCAUUUUGCUUUUUAAUCCUUAGUGUCUCCUUCAAGUCAAAACAUUUAGCUGGCUCUAAUCAAGAUUUGGUUUUGAAGAUGCCCCUUGACCUUGGGCUGCCCAGAGAAGCCCCUGAAAAGUCGGCUCUCCAUCCCCAAUCUGGGCACUGUCCUGGGGCUUGAGAAACUGAGUUCUUUGGGGAAAACUCUCAUUUCAAAUUUCUUUUUUUUUCUAUUCUUUUUUUUUUCUCUCUCUCUUUUGCCUUCCAUUUCCAUGCCUUGAUCCUUUUAAUCUGUCUGUUCCUCCUUCUUUCUGUUUUUUUUUUCUCCAACUUCUUUCCCUCUGGUUACUUAUUUCCCUCCCAUCUUCUUUUGACUAGAUGACAAUGAUGACGAUGAUGAUGCUUUGUUCUCCGGGUGGAAUCCAUAGCUUUGUUCAUGCUAAGCACCAACCUCUACCCUGUUGAGAGCCACAGCCCAGUCAGAAUGACGCCUGGCAUAUUGCCAGAGGGAAUGGUUGAAAGGUGAUUCCAGGGAACCGUUGAGAUGAUGAUUUGAGUUAAGCUGUAUAUAAUUGCUGUGAUGCUGGAUUGAUUGAGUUGUAUAUGGACCCUGCUCCAGGAAUAGGGCGGCUCUGGGUAUCUGACUAGGGCGCCCGCUACUUUGGAGGUCCCGUGCAGUUCUUCCCGGGGUUGGGGAGAUUGGGCACGCGGAGCCCGGUGGAAGGUGUGUAUUCCCGAGUAGUGUGUGUGCAGUGCCGGUGAGAGUUGGGGAAUAAAGAAUUGCUGUUUGAACCUACAAGGCUUUG
rnacentral:lncRNA from 1 species